rnacentral:rRNA from 1 species
CCUACGGGUGGCAGCAGUGAGGAAUAUUGGUCAAUGGACGAGAGUCUGAACCAGCCACGUAGCGUGAAGGAUGACUGCCCUAUGGGUUGUAAACUUCUUUCAUAUGGGAAUAAAAUGUUCCACGUGUGGGAUUUUGUAUGUACCAUAUGUACAAGGAUCGGCUCACUCUGUGCCAGCAGCCGCGGUAAUACGGAGGAUCCGAGCGUUAUCCGGAUUUAUUGGGUGUAAAGGGAGCGUAGGUGGGUUGGUAAGUCAGUUGUGAAAGUUAGGGGCUCAACCGUAAGAUUGCAGUUGAAACUGGAAGUCUUGAGUACAGGAGAGGUAGACGGAAUUCGUGGUGUAGCGGUGAAAUGCUUAGAUAUCACGAAGAACUCCGAUGGCGAAGGCAGCUCACUGGACUGCAACUGACACUGAGGCUCGAAAGUGUGGGUAUCAAACAGGAUUAGAUACCCCUGUAGUC